UUGGUAGUACAGGACAGUACCGAUGCAGGCGCAGUCGGACGAAAUGGCGAGCAGCUAGCGGAGAGCUGCUGCAGAUUGCAUUCAAUGAAUUUGCUUGCUGCCGAGGGGGCGACCUCUCACAGUUACGUAGUAUUGAUCAUCCAGAAGCCAGAAGGAGAGGAAAUAAAUGGCAAAAGAAAAGUAUUCGUACUAUUGAGCCACAACGAUGCGUGCUACUGAUUCUAACCUCUAUUCCAACAACUACUAAGCUCGGUAUCAAAUCAAAACAGCACGAAAUGACGAGCUACCUAGCUAGCUCUGCCUCAUCAUUUGAUGAAUCAGCUCGGAUUAAAAAAACAGAAACUUUCCGGGAGCAAAUCGGGGGUCUUGUAUGAAACACGCGCACGGUUCUUGAAUCGCGCACCAGGGAUUAACAAAUGACUGGAGCAAAUUAACUAAUGGAGGCAAAGUACGCUUGGCUGGAAUAAACAAAGAGUCAGGAUCCCGGGGAGGGAGCAAGCAGCCAAGCACCCCGGACGCAGUACAGGAAGGAGAUGGAGUCUGGCAGGGCGCCGAGAGGAGAGGGAGGGAAAUGCCGUACGUACGUGUGGGUUGGCCGUAGAAGCGGG
rnacentral:misc_RNA from 1 species